CUGUUCUGGAGAUGUCCCUAAAAAGAAAAAAAUGACUAGAUCAGAUUUUUCUUCAGAUUAUUAACAGUUCUUCAGGAGUUUCACAGAAAUCUACAAUAAAAAUCAAAUCCUAAGGAGGUGGGGAUUUCAUAUCACCUUGCUAAGUUCUGAUACCAUUCAAACCCAAGUAGGCUGUUCAUUUCUCUGUGAUUUUCACUGUCUUUUAAAGCUCUUGUCUUUAGUGUCUUAUAGCACAGAAUAUGAAUUAUAAAGAAAUAUCAUGACUUUUAAAAUUACACCUUUAAAGCCAACCAGAUACAAAUGUGUAUGCAGCCACACAGUUUUAAAAAUCCUUUAAAGAAAUCGUAUCUUCCAUUGGAAGAGUUAUAUUCCCUUAGACUUCUUUAGAUUCAUUUUAACCUAUUGGAACACUUUAACAGAAAGCAUUGCAAUUCCUAAAAGAAUAUUCUCUAUAUACCAAAAUUAAAAUCAUCUUACUCCAUCCUGAAUCUCUCAGAAAACUGAAUAUUAUGUUUGUUGCUUUCUACUUGUUUGCUGAGGUGGACUUGUGAGAGAGAUGAUGCACAGCUAAUGGGGAGAUGACUUUCCUUUCAGACUGCCAGGUGAAUGUCACCUGGUCCUGCUGGUGCUUUCUACUCAGUUUUUGCUUUGUCCCAAAAUUGCUUCUAGUAACACUUGAAGUUAAGAUGUUUUUAGAGUUACAGUCUGUGAAGAAGUAAAUCUGUAAAAAGGGUUCUAGGGUAGGCAUUGUUUGAGCAUUGUUUUAUCAUGACACCCUCAUAAUAAGUAAAUCUGGGUUUUUUUCUACAGUUUCUUAUCCUUCUAGAAGUCUUGCUCACUGUCUGCUUUCUUGCAUCCAAGAGGAAAUUAGUUCUAGUUUUAUGCUUUAAACAACUUUUAAAUGUCUACAACAUUGGGGUUUGCUCUGGGUUUUGGUUUUUUUUCUCUUUCAAUUUGCUUUUAAAUUUAGUUAGAAAAAUACUGCUCCUUUUGGUAGGACUUUUUCACUUCUAAAAGCUCCCUUGCUAUCAUAUGUUCUUUAAUAUGUCACAGCUAAUUUCAACUACAUAAAAUUCUUGUUUGUUCCUCUAGAGUGCUUUUUGGUAGGUGCUUCUACCAACAGCCCUGAAUUGGCUCUUAGAAGAGUCUGAAUAUUGCCUGCUAUCAUUUUACCUUGUAAAGAAUCAGAGUAGUUGAGUUUCCAAAUCAUCCUGUAUUGCCAAGAAUGUUUUCAUUCUUGAUCAAAACAGGGUCACCUGGAGCAGGUUGCUCUGAGCUGCCCCCAUUGACUUCUCAGCAUCUCCAGGUCAGGAGACUCCACAGCCUCUUUAGCAACGUGUUAUGGCAUUUGACCACUCUCACAACAAAGAAAUUUUUUUCAGAUGUAUGACGAGGUCCCCUCUCAGUAAUUUCUUCUCAAGGGUGAAGAGGCCCAGCUCCCGCAGCCUUUCAUUGUGAGAGAGAUGCUCCAGUCCCUUGAUCAUCUUUGCUGCCCUCCCCUGGACAAACUCCAGGAGCUCCAUGUCUCUCUUGGACUGAGAAGCCCAGAACUGGACACAGCACUCCAGCUGUGGCCUCACUAGGGCUGAGCAGAGGGGCAGGAUCACCUCACAUGACCUGCUGGUCAUGCUCUUCCAAGUGCCCCUCAGGAUCCCACUGGCCUUCUUGGGCCCAAGGCCACACAGCUGGCUCACAGACAGUUUGUUGUCCACCCCAGGUCCUUCUCCACAGAACUGCUUUCCACUAGAUUGGCCUUCAGCCUGUACCAGUUCCUGUGGUUAUUCCUCCCCAGGUGCAGGACCCUGCAUUUGCCUUUGUUGAAUUACAGACAGUUCUUCUCUGGCCAUCUCUGCGACCUGUUGAGGUCCUUCUGAAGGGCUGCACUCUGGAGUACUGGCCUCUCCUCCCAGCUUUGUUAUCAGCAAAUUUACUGAGGAGGCAUCUGCCUCUUGAUUGAAGUCACUGCAAUUUCAUGGUCACGGUAGCCAUGCCUGCACCCAACCUUCACAUCUCCAACAAGGCCUUCCAUGUUUCUUAGCAGAAUGUCAAUCAGCACAGCAUUCCUUGUGGGAUCCUCCACUGCCUGUGACCGGAAGUUGUCACUGGUGCUUUCUCAGAAUCUCCUGGACUGUUUAUGCUUUGCUGCGCUGCUUUUAUUGGUUGUGUCAAUAUCCCAGAGAGGGUGCAAAGGAAUGCUCCACAGUCCUGUCUUGUGGUUAUAUCUUUGCUAUAUUUACUGGAGUUGGCCCCUCUUAAGUCUGCCUUUGCUCCUUGGGUGUAGUUGCUACAGCUCUCCCCUUUCCCACACCUUAAUGUUUGUUGAGCCCCGGCCUAUGUCCCCAUUCCCCUACUAAUGUAGUUCAAAACUCCCAUAACAAGCCCUGUUAAUUCCUUUUCUCCCUUUGAGACAUUUUAUAGAAUUCUUCUGCAGCAAAACAUCCUGGUAAAAUAGAUCUUGGGACAGAUCUUAGCAAGACAAAGCUGGCCUUUCAGAAACUUCAUGAGUCUCCACCAAGUCCUCAUGGUGGUGGCAGCUAUCUGCAGAUAGGUUAAAUGCUCUGUGAUGACAGAUACUAAGACUCUUUGGAAGGGAAAUUACAACUCACAAACACUUGAGAGUUCUUUGAAGAUGUACUGGCACAAACUUAUGAGGAAAAAUGAUCCUGUUUGUGCAACAAAUCAGGAAUUCUGACAAGCCUUGUCAAAAUCAGAUAUCAAGGGCUGUUGAGGUAACUAAUCUGUUUUGUGACAUGGGGAAUGUCUUUCCUGGAUUAAUUGAAAAAUGAAAGGGUGGAUAAAAGCCUGAGAACAGCUGACAACAUUUCAUGCUAGAGGAAGAAUGGAAAGUUGAUUGGUAUCUGACUAUGCAGGUCAUUGCAGGCAGGGCCCACAGAGGAGAGGCUCUCACUGGUACUACUGAAACACUCAUAAACACUCUGGGAAGGAAGUGCGAGCUGCAACAAAGCUUGUUUCUGGCACAAAGUAAUACAAGGUAGAGAAAGCUUCUUUGUCUAAAGAAGCAGAAGGCUCCUGCAAUAGUAUAUGACUGUGCAGAAAAAUAAUAUGCUUCAAAAUUAAUGAAUGUAAAGUACAUUUAGGAAAAAGCAAUUUUGACUUUACAAGGAUGAUAAUGGGGUUUAAUUUAUCUAGCACUUUGGAAAGUUCUUGGAGUCCUCUGCAAAUGUCAGGUCAGUACUUUCAGUAAUGUUGAAGGGAAAUAGAAUGCUAAGAAUUCUUGGGAAAUAAAUAGAAAAUAGCAAAAAAACUUCACUUUGUAAAUCUAGUAUGACUGUAAAUUAAAUAUCUGCAGUUCUAAAAAUAUAUGCAGUUAUAAUAAGAGCAUGGAAAGCUGCAGCUAGGAUAUUAGAAGUAUCAAGUUGUUUAUAUAUUAAGUAAUAAGGUACAAAAAAGGACUUUUGGGAAAAGCUACAUCUGGAAGCAGCAGUAGUAGACUAUAGUGCCAUGCUGAUCAUAAAGAAGGUGAUUAGUAGUGAUUAUGCACUCUUGUGAGAUGAGUUUCGGAACACUUAAGAAUGUGAGGCAACAGACUUAAAAAUAAGAGAAGGUAUAAUUUUUCACCCAACUGCAUCAUUGUGAAAAUUGGUGCUGUGGUUCAUCAUGUAGGCCAAAAAGCUAGGUAACAAGAAGGACAAUAUACCAUUCUGGUUUGGUUUUAUUCCCAGUUGUCUAACAUUCCCAUCAGAAUUGUCUGGGUCAGCAAGAACACCCUGGGGGACAAGGGCUUGUGCUUUGGAAACAGCUGCUGAGAGGAGCUUCUCUGGAUUUACAGGGAAUGGAGCUGCAGCUCCUGGAGAGCUGCAAACAGAAGGGGUAGCAGCCCAGUGCUCCAGUAGUGGAAACAAUUUCCCAGGGAGCAGAGAUGAAUAUGCAGAGUCUGUGGCUACUCAGAGUUUCACCAAGUGAUGUUAAAAAGUGUGAAAGAAACAUCUAUUCAGUGAAAAGAAAAGGCUUGGAAGAAUUAGUAUUAAGACUAUUUUGUUUCUGUUCUAUCUUACCAAAUCUUAGGAAUUCUUUUAUGUAUGUGCCUAUGGGUAUAUAUUUAAGUAGACAAAUAUUGUAGGUUUUGUUUUCAAACACUCAGUUUUAUACUGGGGAGCCUGGGGAAAAGUUACAGGAAAGAUGCCCUGAAGUUCUUGUUGAUUUAGGAUUGUGGUGCAGAGCUGGCAAUAGAUGCUUUGUCCCAUCCAUGGGCCAUGUUAAACACAAGGGCUCAGAAGUUUGGAAGUUUCCAAAGUCCCAGCUUGGGAAGUCCCUAAAUUGCUGGUAUGUGGUUUCUGCCAGCAAGAAGUACUGUGACUUCUCUGUACCACUGCUAUUGCAAAUCAAAAAGCUUCCUGGGAGUCUGGUGAUAAUUUGUCUCCCAAUAGUUUCUUAGUUACCUUGGCCCACACUUUGUUGUGUGUGCAUCAGCUGGCCAAGAGGAAAGUGUGGGAUUCUCAGAGAUUUUUUUACAUUAAAAAUCUAGUUUUGAUGAUUAUCUAAUCAUGUUCACUAUCUACUUCAAGCAGCAUAGCAGCUGUCUUCAAACUAGUUUGAAAAGUUUUACAAAUAAUUAUUAGUCCUCAGAGCCAUGUGAAUCCAAGUAGUUGGAGCUGUCAAAACUCCUGCAUUCAUAUAGAAGACACACUUGCCUGAAUGAUUUCUUUGUGUGCCAGUGUAUAGAAUUACAGAAUCAUUAAGGUUGGAAAAAUCCUUCAAGAUCAUCAGUCCAACCAUCAGUCUAGCACCCACCAUGUUCACUUUUUCCCAAUGUCAUACCCACAGUUAUUUUUUUUAAUACUUUCAGAGACCAUGACUCCAUGACUUUACUGAGCAGCCUGUUUCUAAUGCUUUGCAAGCCUUUCUGUGAAUUUUUUCCCCCUAAUAUCCAAUCUAAACCUCCCCUGGCACAACUGGAGGCAAUUUCCUCUUGUCCUCUUGCUUCUUACCAAGCCCUGAUGAGCCAAGUGUGGUCAGUCCCGAUCAGUCAAGGAUGAUCAGUCCUGAUUUUGGUCUGCUGGGAAAAAUGGGAACUGACUGAAGUUACGUCUGUCUCAUUAACAUGUAAUAUUGAUAACUAAGAUGAUGUUUAAACACAGCAGUGCUUGAAUUGCACAGAAGAGUGUCUGGCUCGCACUGGUAGGCUAUAGCUUGUACCCUUAAGGAAACACAAGAGAAUGUGCAAGAGAUGGAUUUGUCAAGAGGAUCUGUCUUAAACUGAAGUGACUAUAAAACAGGCUAGGCAGGAAACUGAUAAAAUGAAAGAUAGCAAGUCACAAGGACUAGAUGGUUUUCACCAGAAAAGUUCUGAAACAGCUGAAGGAGGAAGUAGUUGAAUUGAUAAAAGAGUCAUGGAACCUUCAGCUUUGCUCUCCUGAAGAAAGGCAGCAAACAAACCACCACCAAAUAUGAUAUACCUGGGGAAAGUCAGCAUGUAUGGGGCUUUUGUAAAAAAAGUCCUGCCUUGCAAACUUCUCUGAGUGUUGUGUUUAUAAUCUGCUCAAUCUCCUGGGACUUCAAGGCCUUUGACAAAUGCCCACAAGGCUGAGACAGAAACCAGACAGACACACUCUUUUGGAAGGUGUCAAAUGCUCAGGAUUUUGGAAAAGGCUAGCAACAGUCACAGCUAGCCUAGAGCCAGACCAGAUUUCAGCCUUUAAGUAGCCAUGGUCUAGAGCCCACUCAGGUACUGGCAGUGUUGCGUAGAGUUCUACACUGUGAGGCAGAGCAGCAACCAAAGUGCUCUCAACCAAUCUCAACAUUUUGGCAUGGUAGCAGUUUUGUUUGGUCCUCACAUUUUUUUAUAAAUCUUAGGUGAUGUUUCUGGGCUGUUGCUUAUCUCAGCUGAAAUUUACAUAUUUUAUUGAAUAUUAAAGAGACAUUGGAAAGGUUCAGAUAAAUGUGGGAAGAAAACAUUGCAUGAAUUCAGAGAUGUUUUCUGAACCAAUUGUAUAUUACAGAAGUGUUGUUCAGUUGCUCAGAGUUGUUUUUUUUCUUUUUUUCUGGGUUAUUGUAUUUCAGUCUAAUUCUUUGUUGGUUUUAUGAAGUCAGUAUUUCAGAACUGGAUCUAAGUGAUAAAAGCUUUUGUCAAUAAUCCUUUUCAUUGCUGGAAACGUGCACUUGUAGUAUGAAACCCAGUAAUAGCAAUAAUUCAAAAGACAGGUAGUUAAGAAAAUGAGAUUGAAUGUGUCAUAGUACAAUUGAGAAUUUUUUCCUAAUAUAUAUAAAUUUCUGAGUACUGGAACAAGUAAAGCAUAAAAUAUAUAACAGAUGGGCUUAAACUGCAGAUACUAUUUUAACUCUACUAAAAUAUUUUUUAAAUCUAAAAAUUAGUAUUGUUUGAUUAGCAAAAUACAGAGCACUCCUCUUGCUCAAAAACUUGCUUUUGUCCUGUGGGAGAAACCAUUCCUAGAUUGGGAAAUGAUGCUUUAAAGAGCAAUUCUGCAUUCUACAGAUAAUUAACUACUCACAUGUAUCUUGUGUGAUUGUAACAUUGUAAAUUUGGACUGUGUGCUUUAUAAAAGCUAAUUGAAUAAUGAUCCUGAUUGUAUUUUUGUUGUACUCUCUUGAACUUUUGCUCUGGGCAGCAGCUCUUGUCGCAUUUAGUAAAUCAGGUCCACCGAGUUGCUGAAUCCGUGCCAAGGUUUCAUUUUGAGGUGAAGAGCAAUGUACUGUCAUCAUACUAUUAGUUUUAUAAAGGGAGCAAUCUGUGUAUACAUCCACAUAUAUCUGAGUACACAACAGUGACAAAGGAACCAAAAUUGCUGACAUCUGUUUUCCUCUAUUCAGUGAUCACAAUCCCUGCUUCUUCUGCUGUUGUACACUGCAAGUUUGAAAAAAAUAAAAAAUUACCUAGCUUUUCAAUUCUUACUUAAGUAUGUUUAAUUAGGUGGUCUGAGAGCAUGGCCAAACUCAUACAACAUAUAUAUAGUCAGGCACAAUUCUUUGUAGUUAAAUCUUUCUCAUUGUGUUUCUUUAAAGCCAAAAUGGAACGUUACCCCAUUAGGGUGGAUCCAUGGUCUGUAUUUCAGCCUUUAGGUUGCUGUUGCAAUCUUGAUCAGAAAAAAAAGCACUCUCUGUGGGGCACAUGUUCUGACUACCAUGAAUUCCCAUCUCACUUGAAGAGUGCACCUGGGGAACUCCAGACAAUAAGUUCUGCCAGCUUGGUAGGGAGGCAAGACAGAAUUUCUCUAACUCAGAGUUACAUAAAUUUAUUUUUUGUUGUUGUUUUGUUUUUUUCUGCAUACUGCUGCCACUAUAAGCAAUGUCAUUCAUUGUCCUAGACAAAAAGCAAUAUUCUCACAAUCAUUUUCCAUGGAGUUAAUUUUCAAGAUGAAACAGUUUGGAUGUAACAUUUUAUUUUGAGGAAGGUCGAAUGGUCAGCUAGCAACACCAAGGUGCAAAUGACUUAACAAACUAUUCCUUAUAACAAGCUAAGUUGUUUACCUUGCCCAAGGGAAUAUGGAAGGGCUGUAUUGGUGAGACUUCUCAGAGUGUUACACGAGUUAACAAAUCUGCAAUCUCUCUGUAAAUCACUCAGUGGUCAUGAUAGUAUAGUGGGGGUGUAUACUAAGGCACCAAGUGCAAGGACAUUUUUGUCUCCUGUGGGAGAUGUUAAUGGUCAUUGACAGGACACAACCACAAAUACUUGGUUUUUUACUCAGUUUUCUUUUUUUUUUUUACUUCAGCCCUCUUAAGGUAAUGAAUAUGUGGGAGUUUCAGAAACUCUUUUGUUCCUGUUAAAACAAUUCUAGUUCCUGAAAGUGAGUUAAGAGAUCUGUCCAGGUGGAAGGAUUCUGCUUUAAAUUGUUGCUCAUCUUCUGGCAAACCUUUUCUACAUCACACAUGCAGAAUAAUUCCUGCUCAUCGGUGGGUGACACAAGCCCCUAAGCCACUAUUAAAAUUACAUUAAAAUAAAAUUAAAAGCUAAUAACUUGAAUUGUUAAUUCUGUACUGGUUUUGGUUGGUAUAGAAUUAAAUUUUUUCACUAGUAGCUAGAAGGGGGCCAUGCUUUCGAUUUGGGAGUGAAAAUAAUAUUGAUAAUACAGGGAUAUUUUAGCUAUCCCUGGGCAGUACUUGCACACAUACAUGGCAUUUUUUGUUUCUCACACCAUCUGACCACCAAGGAGGUUAAGGGUGCACAAGAAUUUGGGAGAGGAUAGCCAGGACAGCUGACCCCAGCUGACUAAGAGAUAUUCUAGACCUUAUCAAAUCAUGCUCAGCAGUAAAGACUGGGUGGAUGUUUGCCAGGACUGCCAUUGCCAUGGGACUGGCUGGGAAUCAAUGGGCUGGUGGUGGGCAAAUUUUUGUUACAUCGCUUGUUGUUCUUGGGUUUAGUUUUUUGUUCUUCCCCCUCUGAUUUUGAUUUUUUUUUUUUUUUCAGCAUCCUUUUAUUAAUUAUUAAGCUGACAUUAUCUCAACACAUGAUUUUUCUCAUUUUUACCCUUUCAAUUCUUUCUUUCAUCCCAUUGGGUGCAGGGGCAAAUACUCAGCUGUGUGGAGCUGAGGUGCAGGCCAGUGUUAAACUGUGACACCAUCCUAGGAGCUUUAUCUUAGGACUUGCAUAUCAAAGUAUCAUGAUAUGAAAUACUCUGGCUUUUUUAAUCCACUGUUGAUUUACUGUGCUUACAUGUCAAUUCUGGCCUUCUGCCUUUCAGAAGCAAUACCUCUGUUUUUAAUGACACUAUAGUAAGCACCACAUCUCCCUUUAGUUAGCAGAACUGCUAGAACUUUUAUGAGCCAUGAAGGUGUAUCAUUCUAAGAGGAGAUAGAUAGCUGGCUGUUUAGUCUGCAAGUAUAAAACAUGUCCUGAGAUCAAGGAUCAGUGGUAGUAGCUGGGAUAGCACAAUAGUUAUGGAAGACUAGAAAAAAUUCAAGUAAUUUGAGAUAUCUAACUUGAAAAUAGGGUAAAAAGGUAGGUUCUGUACAGUUAGAUGUUCACAUCCUAGGAAAGCAUCUCUAGCCCCUAAACCAAGAGGUUAUGUGUAGCUGACAUGUCUCCAAGCUAGGCUUUGCACAGGAGGCUUACCUGGCUCUUACAGCAUACAAUUAACCACCCACAACCUUUUGCAGCAUAUGAGUUAUCCACCUGUCCAGCAUAACAACAACACUGAUGCUUUAAAUACCCACAAUAAAAAAGUGUCAACAAUCUGAUCCUGCAAGCUCUCACCUGCUGGAGCCAGACUGAUUUUUCUGGAGUUGAAAAGAUUCUGAAAGAAAAAUAAUGACUUCUGCACCUUUUGUUAUUGCAGGUAGCUGCUAGGAUUCCUUCCAAGAAAAAUACAGUUAUUCUGCCAUGAAUAAGCUAUUUUCCUGAAGAGCAGAAAGUAAAACUUGUUCUUACAUGGACUAAACCCUGCUGGUAUCAUCCGGUUUUGCAAUGGAGGAAGAAAUUCCCCUUUUCAGUAUUUCAGUUCUCCUUGUGAUCUGUCAUGGGCACAACGUUACACACUAGACAAUUUGAGUCAGGGAAUAUGAUUCUUCUGGAAGUUCUUCUUUAAAGAUUUUUUUUCAUUCUGUAUUAUGAUUCCUAAUUUUAGUGAAAAGUUCUUUGGGGGAUUGUAGAAUCAGACUGGAAGCCAAAUAACACGAGAAAAAAGAAGAGCAUCAGAGACUAUACGGAGUGUGGGUCCAGGAUAAGUGGGAAGAAUAUUGCAUUAAGCCUCAGCUGCACCAGAAAGCACCAUGACUGCAGGAUUCCGAGCAGGACCUUCUGAGGGCACGAAACACUAACAGGACAUUUCAAGUGCUAUGUGAAACAUAUGCAUGCAGCUGGAUUAUGAAAUGAAUGUUAAAGAAAGGGAGAACAGGCCAAAAAGAUGCAUUUGAAAAUACAGCAUGAAGUUGCUGGGAAAUAUGAAAUGGUUGAUUCAUGCUUUUGAGAUUUGCAUCUCAUUUCCAGUGUAAGUGGAUGGUUCCUCUGAGUUGCUCCCAGCAUCUUACACCACUCUCUGUUUUGCAAGAGAUGCCUGCAAAAGAACUGCUACCAUUAUCAGUGCUAUACUUACUAAAAUAAACAUUCUGGUUAAAAAAAAAAGCAUAAUUAUCUUCCAAAUUGUCUUAGAAAAGUUUUACUGUAGCUUCAAACCAGAACAAAACUCACAGUGGAAUUACUGGCCAUGAUUUUAUUUCUGAACUAUAAAUAUACAUACUAAAUGAAAGCACACUGCAAAAGACAUUAAGCAAUUAUAUUGUUAUUGCUGGCUGAAAUUAACAUCCUCUCUUUGCUCCUCAAAAGUAAUUAAAAUAAGAUACGUUUUUCAGAACUCAAGUAAACAGAAAAACUUGGGUUUUUUCUUCUGAAAGAAGAGAAUUACCUGCUACUUACAUAGCAUCCAGAUUUGUCCCAUUAAAAGCAUGGCCUUGAAUACGGGUAAAACCAUUAUUGUAGAGUUUACUGCAAGCAAAAAAGAAAUUACAUCAGUGUAUUUUGGGCUGCUUCAAUACAUGAAUACCUAACAUCUUAUGCAUCAUUUUUCUUUGCAACAGCACAUUUAUGGUUGGGUUAAUUUUAAUCUCUUGAAGAAGCAGUAGUUACUGUGCAAGGUCAAACAAAUGCCAGAAGUGUUCUUGAGUGCACCCCAUCAAGGAUACCACGUGACAGGUGUGCAAUCUUCUACCUCUUCUUACAGCAAUGAUAGACUAAACCACUUUGCUAUAAUUUUCCCACACUUAAAUAAAAGCAAGGAAACAAAAUUCUGCUGGGACUGAUUAAGGAAGGCUAAAGGAACUAACAACUAGCUAAAAAGGUCUGAUUCUACUAUCAGGCAUGCCUUACAUUUUUAGAAUUAAAUUUUUUACUCUCUUAGAGCAAAAUAAUUUUUUUCUAGAAUUUCUUUAGAAUUCAUCUGUUCGCAUUCUAAUGCUCUUCCUCCCAGUUCAGGUCAUAACUUAUUACAGUAAUUUCACUCCCAUCAGCCUUCUUUUUUGUGGCUCACAUUGACUGACUUGCAUAACUGAACUUUAUUUAACAAUUUUCUUUCAAAUUUGACUCUUCUGAUGUUUGCCAUCCAUUAGUUUCCAUGGUAUGUACCACUCAGGUUGCAAAAAAAGUUAGACCUGGUUAUAACCCUGCUGUAGCUUUACAGGGGGAGAGCGUUGCAGACUUUCUCCUUUGAUUUUUUUUUCAAAUAGAACCAUUCUCUGGACACUAGGGUCAUAGAAAAACAAAACCACUUUAGUCAAGCCAGCUUAAAGAAAAGAGCAGGACUGGUUGAAAUAGUUGUCAAAGUACAGAAUUUAUGCAAACUAGAAUAUUCAUUCUGUCUGUGGUCUUUCUCCAUUGCAAACUACUAGAGAGUAAGACGGGAAUAAUUUUAUUUUUAAAUAUUUUGCUAUAUGCAUUACCAGAGAGGUAAUUGCCUUGUGACUUAAACUGGAAGAACUUACAGAGUGAGAGAUUCAUUACAAAGCCCAUGGAAAGCAUUUGCAGGCACUGAAGUCAUAUAAGGAUUAUCUGCAAUUUCACUGAAAAAAGAGACAAAAUAUCACAAUCAAAUAUCUGCCCAACAGAGCAUCUGGAGAACAGCUUUGUUAUUAAUUGUUCUCUGCCUUGAUAAUAAAUAGAAGUUUAAA